AGGCAAGCACUCUACCCACUGAGCUAUAUCCCCAGCCAAAGGUGAUACAACACCAAGCACAGUGACUGGGCUCCAAAGCCAGCAAAUGAUUGGUGCAUGGCACUUAUUGCAGGCCUGGACACAGCUGGCAUUCAAUCAUUUCCAAAACAUUCUGAAGGCAAGUGAACAUGUUUGAACUUCAUAUAUGCCUCAACAGGAAAGCUACAGUCCUGAGGCAUGGUUGUCUGCUGAGGACAGAACAGUCAAGGAGUCAAAGACUAACAAGGAUCCCAGCCCUCCUGAGCAGUGGGUACAAGUAUAAACAGCAAUAGUAAAAUUUUCUGCCAACAA